GAUGACGACAACCCACCUGUGUCUUUUGUGAAGUUCUCUCCAAACGGCAAGUACAUCCUGGCUGCGACCCUGGACAACACGCUGAAGCUCUGGGACUACAGCAAAGGGAAGUGCCUGAAGACCUACACCGGCCACAAGAAUGAGAAAUACUGCAUUUUUGCAAAUUUCUCCGUCACUGGUGGGA